AGGCAGCAGUUGGGAAUCUUCCGCAAUGGGCGAAAGCCUGACGGAGCGACGCCGCGUGAGCGAAGAAGGCCUUCGGGUCGUAAAGCUCUGUUGUGAGGGACGAAGGAGCGCCGUUCGAAGAGGGCGGCGCGGUGACGGUACCUCACGAGGAAGCCCCGGCUAACUACGUGCCAGCAGCCGCGGUAAUACGUAGGGGGCGAGCGUUGUCCGGAAUUAUUGGGCGUAAAGCGCGCGCAGGCGGUCUCUUAAGUCUGAUGUGAAAGCCCACGGCUCAACCGUGGGGGGUCAUUGGAAACUGGGGGACUUGAGUGCAGGAGAGGAGAGCGGAAUUCCACGUGUAGCGGUGAAAUGCGUAGAGAUGUGGAGGAACACCAGUGGCGAAGGCGGCUCUCUGGCCUGCAACUGACGCUGAGGCGCGAAAGCGUGGGGAGCAAACAGGAUUAGAUACCCUAGUAGUCC
rnacentral:rRNA from 1 species